rnacentral:rRNA from 1 species
ACCCAAAAGAUCGAAUGGGGAGAUUCAUCGUCAGCUUUAUCGGCUUGCGUGCUGCUCGCGAUGCUCGCUUUGGUUAAGCGUGUAACAGCGUUUAGCUUUUUAAAGCGGGCACGCGGUAGCUGCGUAAUUAUUGUCCGGUCAAAGUCGGCGUGCACUUCUCCCCUAGUAGGACGUCGCGACCCGUUGAGUGUCGGUCAAAGGCCCGAUUUGGUUGACUGCCGGUCAUUGGCUGCGCAAGUAUCCAAUUUUCCGAUCGGUAGACCAUUUCGAUCGCCCGGCCGACUGCUCGGCGGUAAAAAAUCGUUUGAAAUUCAUAAUGGUAUCGAGCCGCAUGAUGAAUGCGUUCUUUUGGCUCGUCGGCAGGGGAGCCUCGUUUUCUCGGAUUUUACGGACCUAGCGCCGUUGUCGAGCGAGCGUUUCUUUUUGAAAAAAAUUGCCGACGAUGUCCUCGGACGGGCUCUAUAAAGGAGAAUUUUUAUAAUUCUCCUUUUGUUACCAGUCAGCGACGCUACUGCUUUGGGUACUUUCAGGACCCGUCUUGAAACACGGACCAAGGAGUCUAACAUGUGCGCGAGUCAUUGGGACUUGUUUAUAAACUAAGCCUAAAGGCGCAAUGAAAGUGAAGGUCCGCUCUGAUGCGCGACCGAGGGAGGAUGACUCGGUAGAAAAAAGUAAAGGGAAAAAAAAAUUUUUUUUUUUUUUUUUUAUUUUUUUUUUUUUAACCCGAGUCCGCACUCCCGGGGCGUCUCGUGCUCAUUGCGAGCUGAGGCGCACCCAGAGCGUACACGUUGGGACCCGAAAGAUGGUGAACUAUGCCUGGUCAGGACGAAGUCAGGGGAAACCCUGAUGGAGGUCCGUAGCGAUUCUGACGUGCAAAUCGAUCGUCGGAA